UUUCACUGUGCUAAGGAGGAGAGAGCUCGUUCCUGCCAUCCAGAGACGCUGGACUGGAUCCUGAGCACCAUCUCAAAGGUGCCUAUCUGUUGACAUUGGCUCUCCUGAGCAGAGCGUUGGGCCACGCCAGGAAGCUGAGUGUACAACUCUCCUUGCGUUUCCCACUUUCCCAGGGGUUAUCGCCUAUGAAAUCUCACACACACCCAUGGCCAGAAAAGGUUUCUGAUGCAGAGGCAGGUGAAAGGUGCCCACUGGUCCCACGGUGGUGAGUUUGGGUGCCCCAUGCUUGGUGGCAGGGGCUGAGCCACCUUCCCUGGCAGAGGGGUUUUGAGUGGAUGGGUAAAGCCACAGCAAAGGCAGGCUGCGGUGGGAUGAGCACGGUCAGAGGUCUGUAGAGCUGUGAUGAAAAUCAGGGCAUCAAACCAGCUUGGUUGUGCAGGGAAGGAGAAUGUGUCAGGGCUCCCAUUGCAGAGGAGAUGGCCAGUGUGUGGUGACCCACAGCAGGAGGCACACAGUAGCACCCAUUUGCCACCUCCAGUCCUCUUCCCAACAGAAGAUGCCAGCACUAGCUGAGCCUGCAGGGACAUUUGGUGCUGGGGGGCUCAGAGGGCUUGAGCCCAUGGUGAUGGUUCCCAGGUCCCCCUCCACCCCUCAGCACUGGGGCUCCUGGUGCCAUGGGGAUGCAGCCAGAGUCCCUCCAGUGGCUGCAGCAUUUUGGGAUAGAAAGUCCGGUCCUGCCUUGUGGGCACUUCAGCUUUUUGGAGCCAGGAUCCAGCUGCUCCUCAGCUAUUGGUGUCUUUCCACAGCCACUUGCUCUGUAUGGAGCUGCUUCAGUGCAUCAUCCAGAGCCCACUGUUAGUUUUUGACUGGCACCGUUAGUCUUUCCUGAAGGGGUUUGCUGGAUAAUUUUGGCUGAUGCUCAGGCUGAAGCUUGGAUGGGGCUCGUUCCUUCAGCGUAAUUGCUUCUGGGACCUGGCUUUGCUCAGAGGCCCCAGUGGGAAUGUGGCGCCUCUGCCCAGUGCAGAGCCAUCAGCCUUGGGUUCGUGAUACAGCCACUACCUUGAAAUUUGCCUUUCGUGAAAUUCUGCAACAUUUGCUCUUUCCACAAACAUUUCUGCCAGGAACGUUGUUUGCUCCAAUAUUUGAGGAAAGCAAACAGAGGGGGAGCCUGAACACAAACAGUCAUGGAUGUUUUUUCGCACUCUUUGCCCUGCUCUACCCCCAAGCCCACCACAGAGACACUUGUAGGUGACCCCUCUGCUCCAGCUACCCCUUGGCUCUGCCUGUGCCCACUGCUGGCCACGAUCCCACUGCAAAUACUGCUGUAUUUCAAAGAAGAUCACCCAGACCUUGCUGCCUGCGGGACCACCAUCGCUCACCACCCCUUUGCGCUCGCUUUAGACAAACAUCAUUUUAAUGCCAUUCGAGAAAUGUCAGCAGAAGACCAACCGAGCCUGUCUGACCCACACACCUACACCAGCCGCUCCUCAAGCCUUCCCAGGCCUCGUGCUGCUCACCUCCCAGAGCUGGAGCUCACCCCAGCCCUCUGUGCUCACUCCCAUUGUAAAUUACCAUCGUGUUUCCAAGUGAAGCCGCAGACCAGGGCGUGCUGCCGCCUGGUAAGUGCUGGGGUGAGACGGCUGCCCCGGUGUGGUGGAAGUUGCAGCCCUGCAUACAACCGCAGUCACUGUCUUGACACCGAGCAGCAUCCCUGCAGCUCCCAGCGAUGCGGAGCAUCCCCUGCUCUUCCCCAAGGAGAUCCUCUUCCCUAAGCCUCAGGAUCAAGCCAAGGCAGCUAAGCAGUGAUUGUUCCUUCUGCAUCCCAUCUGAAUACCAGGGCUUAUUUCUGGGUGCAGCAAGACCCUGCUCAGCGGUUUCUUGCCCCGGUAAGUGCUGCCCCUGCCAGUGUUAUAAACACCACUGACAGCCAGUGGGGAUGGUAGGAGUGGGAACAGGGAAGGACCUGUGCGGGUGUCGCAAAACUUACGAGUCCCUGAUGGCCUCCGUGCCAUGGACACAGAGCACAAGGAGUAAACAGAGGAAUUAAAUAGCAGCUGACAUGAGAAAUCAAGAGGGGGAAAGCUCAGUUUGGGUAGUAGCUAGUGUAAAGCUAUAAUUAGAUCAAUUUGUCAAUGAGAAAUAGCUGCUUCAUAGUGAAAAGUAAAAAUCCUCAGAACUUCUGCCUCCUCUCGCAUUCUUCAGCUGAAGCUGUUCCCCACAUCUGACCAAACUGCCCAAGCAGCUCCGAUGGCUCGCGUUUUUCAGCUGAUUUCCAAGGCUGCUUUACUGAGCUGGCCCCGCUGUAACCACCGGCCCCGGGGAUCCCUGGCUCUGAGACACUUCCAAUAUAAAAAGGAGAGGUGCUGCCCAUGCUGGGAUUGAAGGAAAUUGCCAGGAUUGUGCCCAAGUCUCAUUUGGGGAACUAAGGUGGAGCCGGGGUCUCAUCACCAGCUUGCUGCCCCUUACACCUUCUCCAUACCCUACCCUCUCACACACUCAUUUGCAGCCUCCCCUGGGGAUUUAACUUCAGUGCGCCUGGAGGAGCCCUUUCCAGCAGAGCAUCCUCCAAAUCCUUUACACCAGGCACAGGUCUGAUGGGAGAGAAACCAGUGCCUCCAAGGUAUGGUUUAGGGACAGUGCUGCAGGCAAUCUGGGGCAGGGUUGAAGGAGCUGCAGUGGGUGGAUGCCCCACUCUGAUCUUAUCAAUGCCACUGCUGGAAAGAGCAGGCUAGACCCGCUUGCUGUCCUGAGGCCAAGUGCCAGCACCCAGCUUCCCCCUUAAUAUAACCCUGGCUUCAAAUGGGUACUGAAAUGCUGAAGCCCCUCAUAGAUGGGGAGACAGAAAAAUCAGAGAGUCCUUCUAUCUGUCAAAGGAAACUGAAAAUGACCCCUCCAAGGCUGAAGGCUCAUCUGGUGGAUGUGGUAUGCACCAUCAGCUGAGCCCAGCAAUGCCCUGGGGGUGGCUGGGACUGGCUGCACUGGUGGGACUCAGUGCACCACCACUGCCUGGAACAUCCCGUUGUUUUCCAAGAGAAUAAUCUCCCCAGUGACCCUGGAAAGGGCUUGGCCACCACUUUGCCAUCAGCCCCAUGGCGCAUCCGGCUGCUGUGCCCACCCUGCCACACAGCCCAGCCCCACAGUACCGCUAGGCACUGCCCAGUCCCCAGCCCUUCCUCGCCUCUAUUUGGAUAACUUUUUCACCCGUUUUAUUUAUGAGGACUCCCCUCCUUCUGCCAACGCUGAGCUUCCUCCCCCUUUGGUCUGGGAGGCCCUUCUUGCUUUUCUAUUAUUAUUAUUUUCCUCUCUUCCCCUGGCAAGGCCCCAGGCUCAGCCUCACGACGGGCUCGCGGGCAGUGGUCCCAUGGCUUGCUUUGGCCGUGGGAGCAGAUGGUGGGAUGUGCAGUGACUCUUCUCCAGCCACCCUGUGGUUCCCAGCCCUGCCUGCGCCUGCCCCGUGGCCCAUCACUGACCCUCAGGCUGAAAUAUUAGGAGAAAAUCAGGAUUAAACCAAGAAAUCAGGACCAACCAGUGGCAACGUGUGCCUGCCUGUGCUUGAGGUCACUGAUGUGCCAGGGCGGGCAAGUGGCUGCUCCCACUGGAGCAAGCUACAAGUGGGCAGAAUAACUUAAUCAUAAGUGAUUAAAGAGCUUGUUCAGCUCCU